rnacentral:rRNA from 1 species
AGAGUUUGAUCAUGGCUCAGGACGAACGCUGGCGGCGUGCCUAACACAUGCAAGUCGAGCGGAAGUAUGAUGUAGUUUACUACUGAGUACUUUAGCGGCGGACGGGUGAGUAACACGUGGGCAACCUGCCUUGAAGAGGGGGAUAACACCGAGAAAUCGGUGCUAAUACCGCAUAACGUACACAUACCGCAUGGUGAGUGUAUCAAAGGAGUAAUCCGCUUUAAGAUGGGCCCGCGGCUGAUUAGCUAGUUGGUAAGGUAACGGCUUACCAAGGCGACGAUCAGUAGCCGACAUGAGAGUGUGACCGGCCACACUGGAACUGAGACACGGUCCAGACUCCUACGGGAGGCAGCAGUGGGGAAUAUUGCGCAAUGGGGGAAACCCUGACGCAGCAACGCCGCGUGGAGGAAGAAGGUCUUCGGAUUGUAAACUCCUGUCUUCUGGGACGAUAAUGACGGUACCAGAGGAGGAAGCCACGGCUAACUACGUGCCAGCAGCCGCGGUAAUACGUAGGUGGCGAGCGUUGUCCGGAAUUACUGGGCGUAAAGGGCGCGUAGGCGGCUCUUUAAGUUAGAUGUGAAAACCCAGGGCUUAACUCUGGGACUGCAUUUAAAACUGAAGGGCUCGAGUGCAGGAGAGGUAAGUGGAAUUCCUAGUGUAGCGGUGAAAUGCGUAGAUAUUAGGAGGAACACCAGUGGCGAAGGCGACUUACUGGACUGUAACUGACGCUGAGGCGCGAAAGCGUGGGGAGCAAACAGGAUUAGAUACCCUGGUAGUCCACGCUGUAAACGAUGGAUACU